CUCGUGAAAAAGUGGUGAAGCUUUUGGCCUCCACAACUCCAGAGGAGGUCUUGGAGAAAUUGGAAAAGCAAGUUGAAAAAAAAAUAAAAGCCUCCCUAUUCCGAGAUACAACAAUAGUGAAUUUAGGCGAAUUUAUAACCCUACAAUGGCCUUUAGGUGUUCAAGUGAAAGGAAGAGUCGUACGUCUCUCACUUUAAAUCAAAAGCUAGAAAUGAUUAAACUUAGUGAGGAAGGCAUGUCAAAAGCUGAGAUAGGCCGAAAGCUAGGCCUCUUGCGACAAACAGUUAGCCAAGUUGUGAAUGCAAAGGAAAAGUUCUUGAAGGAAAUGAAAAGUGCUACUCCAAUGAACACACGAGUGAUAAGAAAGCAAAACAGCCUGAUUGCUGACAUGGAGAAAGUGUUAGUGGUCUGGAUAAAAGAUCAAACCAGCCACAACAUUCCCUUAAGCCAGAGUCUAAUCCAGGCCAAGGCCUUAAUGCUUUUCAAUUCUAUAAAGGCCGAGAGAGGUGAGGAAGCUGCAGAAGAAAAGUUUGAGGCCAGCAGAGGUUGGUUCAUGAGGUUUAAGGAAAGAUGCCGACUCUGUGACAUAAAAGUGCAAGGUGAAGCCGCAGGUGCCGACGUGGAAGCUGCAGCAAGUGACCCAGAAGAUCUGGCCAAAAUAAUUAAUGAAGGUGGCUACACCACACAACAGAUUUUCAAUGUAGAGGAAACAGCCUUAUAUUGGAAGAAGAUGCCAUCUAGAACUUUCAUAGCCAGAGAGGAGAAGGCAAUGCCUGGCUUCAAAGCUUCAAAGGACAGGCUGACCCUCUUGUUAGGGGCUAAUGCAGCUGGUGACUUUAAGUUGAAGCCAAUGCUCGUGUAUUAUUCUGAAAAUCCUACCGCCCUUAAGAAUUAUGCUAAAGCUACUCUGCCUGUGCUCUAUAAAUGGAACAACAAAGCCUGGAUGACAGCACAUUUGUUUACAUCAUGGUUUACUGAAUAUUUUAAGCCCGCUGUCGAGACCUACUGCUCAGAAAAAAAGAUCCCUUUCAAAAUAUUACUGCUUAUUGACAAUACACCUGUUCACCCAAGAGCUCUGAAGGAGUUGUACAAUGAGAUUAAUGUUAUUUUCAUACCUGCUAACACAGCAUCCACUCUGCAGCCCCUGGGUCAAGGAGUAAUUUCAACUUUCAAGUCUUAUUAUUUAAGAAACAUAUUUUGUAAGGCUAUAGCUGCCACAGAUAGUGACUCCUCUGAUGGAUCUGGGCAAAGUAAAUUGAAAACCUUCUGGAAAAGGUUCACCAUUCUAGAUGCCAUUAAGAACAUCCGCGAUUCGUGGGAUGAGGUCAAAACAUCAACCAUAACAGGAGUUUGGAAGAAGUUGAUUCCAACCCUCACGGAUGAGUUUGAGGAGUUCAAGGUUUCAUUGGAGGAAGUGACUGCAGAUGUGGUGGAAAUAGCAAGAGAACUGGAAUUAGAAGUGGGGCCUGAAGAUGUGACCGAAUGGCUGCAGUCUCACGAUAGCUCUUUAACGGAUGAGGAGCUGCUGCUUAUGGAUGAGCAGAGGAAGUGGUUUCUUGAGAUGGAGUCUGCUCCUGGCGAAGAUGACGUGAAGAUCGUUGAAAUGACCACAAGGGAUUUAGAAUAUUACAUAAACUUAGUGGAUGAGGCAGCAGCAGGGUUUGAGAGGAUCGACUCCAAUUUUGAAAGAAGUUAUACUGUGGGUGGAAUGCUAUCAGACAGCAUUGCGUGCUACAGAAAAAUCAUCCACGAAAGGAAGAGUCAGUCGAUGAGGCAGAGUUCAUUGUCUUAUUUUAAGAAAUUCCCACAGCCACCCCAGUCUUCAGCCGCCACCACCCGGGUCAGUCAGCAGCUAUUAACAUUGAAGCAAGACUCUCCGCCAGCAAAAAGAUUACGACUCCCUGAAGACUCAGAUGAUGGUUAGCAUUUUUUAGCAAUAACGUACUUUUUAAUUAAGGCAUGUACAUGGUUUUGCCUCCAUUGACAGAGCCUGAGAAAGCAAAACCUGGACUCCUGAUUCUGUGGGCCUUUCCUCCUUCGCCAGCGAGGGGUUGGAGAGAGAACCAGAGCGUCAUAUGGCGGCGGCUGUGAAUGGCACCAAGUGGAGCCUGCGGGCGGAGCUGAAGCAGUGUCUGCAGGCCAUCAGGAGCGCUCACAGCCGCCACUGCCAUCUGGGGAGUACAGGCUGCCCUCCACAGGGCCUCGCCUCCCCUUCCCCCAUCCCCGCUGCCACAAGUCCCCGCCCACCCAAGCCUGCUG